AGUGGCGGACGGGUGAGUAACGCGUGAGAAUCUGCCUUGGGGUCGGGGACAACCACUGGAAACGGUGGCUAAUACCGGAUAAGCCGAUUGGUGAAAGAUUUAUUGCCCGAAGAGGAGCUCGCGUCUGAUUAGCUAGUUGGUGAGGUAAGAGCUCACCAAGGCAGCGAUCAGUAGCUGGUCUGAGAGGACGAUCAGCCACACUGGGACUGAGACACGGCCCAGACUCCUACGGGAGGCAGCAGUGGGGAAUUUUCCGCAAUGGGCGAAAGCCUGACGGAGCAAGACCGCGUGAGGGAGGAAGGCUCUUGGGUUGUAAACCUCUUUUCUCAGGGAAGAAGCUCUGACGGUACCUGAGGAAUCAGCCUCGGCUAACUCCGUGCCAGCAGCCGCGGUAAUACGGAGGAGGCAAGCGUUAUCCGGAAUUAUUGGGCGUAAAGCGUCCGCAGGUGGCGAUUCAAGUCUGCUGUCAAAGCGCGGGGCUUAACUCCGUAAAGGCAGUGGAAACUGAAUAGCUAGAGUGCCGUAGGGGUAGAGGGAAUUCCCGGUGUAGCGGUGAAAUGCGUAGAGAUCGGGAAGAACAUCGGUGGCGAAAGCGCUCUACUGGACGGCAACUGACACUCAGGGACGAAAGCUAGGGGAGCGAAUGGGAUUAGAUACCCC
rnacentral:rRNA from 1 species